AUAAUACUCCCUCCGUUCGGAAUUACUUGUUGCAUAAAUGGAUGAAAAUGGAUAUAUCUAAAAUUAAAAUACAUUUGAAUACAUUUAUUUCUCUGACAAAUAUUUCCGAACGGAGGGAGUACAAA
rfam:Triticum aestivum genome assembly, contig: Triticum_aestivum_CS42_TGACv1_scaffold_002238_1AL